rnacentral:misc_RNA from 1 species
CACAAUAAACAUAUGAAGGCUGCACCGCCAACAGGCGGCAAGGCUGGAGUAUUUUAUUACCCUUGUCUUUUGCGCACUCGUUGUUUCCUGGGCGGGGUUCGCCCGCCUCCAGGACCACAUGAUAAACCUUUUUUAUGCAGUUGCAAUCAGCGUCAGUACAACAAAUGUAAAUCAUUUA